UACGAAGGGAGCUAGCGUUGUUCGGAAUCACUGGGCGUAAAGCGCACGUAGGUGGAUUUGUCAGUCAGGGGUGAAAUCCCGGGGCUCAACCCCGGGCCUGCAUCCGAUACUCCCGGGCUGGAGGCAGGUAGGGGAGAUCGGAAUUCCUGGUGUAGCGGUGAAAUGCGCAGAUAUCAGGAGGAACACCGGUGGCGAAGGCGGAUCUCUGGGCCUUGCCUGACGCUGAGGCGCGAAAGCUAGGGGAGCGAACAGG
rnacentral:rRNA from 1 species